rnacentral:rRNA from 1 species
GACGAACGCUGGCGGCGUGCCUAAUACAUGCAAGUAGAACGCUGAAGAGAGGAGCUUGCUCUUCUUGGAUGAGUUGCGAACGGGUGAGUAACGCGUAGGUAACCUGCCUUGUAGCGGGGGAUAACUAUUGGAAACGAUAGCUAAUACCGCAUAACAAUGGAUGACACAUGUCAUUUAUUUGAAAGGGGCAAUUGCUCCACUACAAGAUGGACCUGCGUUGUAUUAGCUAGUAGGUGGGGUAAUGGCUCACCAAGGCGACGAUCCAUAGCCGACCUGAGAGGAGAAUCACCAACACUGGAAUUGAGCACCGGCCAGGACUCUAAGGGGAGGAGCAGGAGGGGAUCAUCGGCAAUUGGGGGAACGCUGGACGAGCAAAGCCGGGUGGGGGGAGGAGGGUCUCGGAUCGUAAAGCUCCGUUGUGAGUCAAGAAAGGGUGGGAGAGUGGAAAGUUCACACUGUGACGGUAGCUAAACAGAAAGGGACGGCUAACUACGUG